UUGAGCCAUUGUGCGCGUUCUGUCCGUCAGGCUUGUCAGAGCGGCUUGUCUGUGGCAUUGUCCACAUUUAUCCACCCAUCUAAUCGGAUUUACAGGGCGGGGAAGGUUAUGGUUUGCUCCACGCAUUGUUUGGAUGGAGGCUGGCUAUCGGGACGUGGUCGGCCCGGGCAAUCUACCCGCUGGCCUCUUUCUGGCGGGCAACUACACGCAAAAGCACCGUUCAGGCCUUUUUGAUACUGAAUAAAGAGUCGCAACUGCAUGCUAGCUGUUAUAGAAGCCUAUGUUCUAUACAUAGCUAAAAACCCCUAGGGAUGCCAGCGACUGGAUCUAUUAUGGCAAUACACUACAAAGAAAAUAGGUAGUAAGUUCCACUGCGCCUACAGCAGCUGAUUGAUUGUCCAGUUGAAAUUCAUUCACAACCUUCACACAGAGCAGGUCCUCGCGACAAGCAUUAAGCAUUAUAUAUGUCCUUUUUGCCGGAGCUGUAGUGGGUGUUGAUGAUGGAUCUUAUUGUCUCGUUAACUUCCGCCCCAUACCAUGAUCGAGGAGACGUUCUGGCAAUUUCCUUAUCCAUCCCCCUUGUUUUGUUUCGAUAUGCUGUUUACAAGAGAAAGCUUGCGCAAUUUCCUUUGCUCCAAGUAUAAGAGGAGUAGAAUAAGAGAAAGAAAAAUCAUAGCUGUGGCCAGUUGCAUGUAAUAAUUGAAGCCAAACGCUCGCUCUAUAAUCCAAGUGAAGUAUAAAUAGUUGAAAGUUUCUAUAAUCCAGACAAAAAGGAAGGGGUGGAAAUGUUAUGGUCGGGAAAUUGGAGGGUAGCUGAGACCAGCGAACCAUCGACAAACUGGGAUUGAGAAUUGGAAAAUAUACAACAGAUGAAGUAUUAACAGAAUUGUACAGGGUAACUAUUGCGUAUGGACUAUGACUCAGAAUUUGGAAAACUGAAGUUCAUAACAGUGCAAUGCACGACGAGGGUUUAGGCGCGUCAAAACGUGUAUUGAAACUGGGGGGAAGGUAUUAGGGGGG
rnacentral:sRNA from 1 species